GACGAACGCUGGCGGCGUGCUUAACACAUGCAAGUCGAACGGAAAGGCCCUGCUUUUGCGGGGUGCUCGAGUGGCGAACGGGUGAGUAACACGUGAGUAACCUGCCCUUGACUUUGGGAUAACUUCAGGAAACUGGGGCUAAUACCGGACAGGAGCUCCUGCUGCAUGGUGGGGGUUGGAAAGUUUCGGCGGUUGGGGAUGGACUCGCGGCUUAUCAGCUUGUUGGUGGGGUAGUGGCUUACCAAGGGUUCGACGGGUAGCCGGCCUGGGAGGGUGACCGGCGACAUUGGGACUGAGGUAGGGCCCAGACGCGUACGGGAGGCAGCAGUGGGGAGUAUUGCACAGUGGGCGGGAGCGUGAGGCGGCGACGCCGCGUGCGGGAUGACGGCCUUCGGGUUGUAAACCGCUUUCGCCUGUGACGAAGCGUGAGUGACGGUAAUGGGUAAAGAAGCACCGGCUAACUACGUG
rnacentral:rRNA from 1 species